rnacentral:lncRNA from 1 species
CUCAAAAUUUGUGGAGACACUGGAAAUUGAGUUAGCUUUCCAAUGGAAGUGGUUUCAAGUCAUUUGAAGCUGUAUUGGACAAGUUAUGAUCGAUUUACUAUAGGUGUAUCAAUCCUUGCCGGGGACCACUUGAAAGUUGAUGGGAUCAACCAACUUCCCACUAUCUUCCACCCACCUUUCCUUUGCACGAUUUUUCCUACUUUUCUGUAUAAUAUUUGCUUUCUUAUUAUCAAAAGAGUGGGCAAGAAACAUAAUAUCCAACUUUGUAAUAAUUUAACUUGUCAAAACUCUCUCUCUUUGAAAUACCAUUGUUCUUGGUGUUCUUGAGUGUUCUUCAUUGUUCAUCAUCUGUUCUUGAGUUUUAAUUUCGUUUUGCUUGUUUAAAUCCUUGUUUAUCUUUAUUCUCUGUUGUAUCUACUUGAAUAUGCUUCAAUCUAUUAUGAGAUUAAGUGUUUUCAUGGAGAUUAGUG